UUUGGACUAAAUGAGCAAUGAGAUGUCAUGUUUAGGGUUCUGCCCACUAGAUGGAAUUACCUUUCUUUUUUUGCAGGAUCACAAACUUGGUGGGACUGCAUUGACUUCUGCUGCAUUGCAGAAGUCAUCACCAACUGUCAUGCAAAACCCUCUGCAAAAUAGACUCAGAUUUUUUUCUGGCCAUCAAGAGCAUUGCAUGUGGCUAAAGUCAAGAAUGAGAGCAGGAUAGCAGCGCAAUGGGAAUAGACACACCAGGAUUAAGAGCUACCAGCUCAUCCAAUUUUCAAUUGCUCAAGCCCAGUCCCAAAUAUACCACAUGAUAAAGGAGUAUUGCUGGAAAUGGCUGAUUCUAUGGAUUGGUAGAUAAAACACUCAAUUCAUGUGGGGCAACAGUGAUCCAUAGUCAAAUGAGUAUUCAGUCUCCACCAUAGCCCAAUAGCAAGCCAAGAGCUUUUUACUCCAAAACUAUGGGCCUUUAUGCUGAAUCUCCUCUCAGAGCUUCCCCAGAGAUCAUAACGCAUUUGAUCAUAGAUAGUUGCAAGCCACUGGGCUCACUGGUCAUAAAUAGGAUGACCAUAUAAUCUAUCAUCCAAACUAGGACAGUCUUGAAAAUGGAAGGAGGCCCUAGUCAUAAAUACACUGGGACAAUAGGCAUAAAUUAAAACUAACCUGAGAUAUUAUGGACUCUGAAGAAC